UCCUACGGGAGGCAGCAGUGGGGAAUAUUGCACAAUGGGCGCAAGCCUGAUGCAGCCAUGCCGCGUGUAUGAAGAAGGCCUUCGGGUUGUAAAGUACUUUCAGCGGGGAGGAAGGCGUUGAGGUUAAUAACCGCAGCAAUGACGUACCCGCAG
rnacentral:rRNA from 3 species